ACGGGGCGCAGCAGGCGAGAAACCUUUGCAAUGUGCGAAAGCACGACAAGGUUAAUCCGAGUNNNNNNUGNNNNNNGAGUCUUUUGUCAGUUGUAGAAUCACUGGUGAAUAAGGGGUGGGCAAGUUCUGGUGUCAGCCGCCGCGGUAAAACCAGCACCUCGAGUGGUCAGGAGGUUUAUUGGGCCUAAAGCAUCCGUAGCCGGUUGCAUAAGUUUUCGGUUAAAUCUAUGCGCUUAACGUAUAGGCCGCCGAAAAUACUGUGCAGCUAGGGAGUGGGAGAGGUACACGGUACUCGAUAGGAAGGGGUAAAAUCCUUUGAUCUAUUGGUGACCACCUGUGGCGAAGGCGGUGUACCAGAACACGUUCGACGGUGAGGGAUGAAAGCUGGGGGAGCAAACCGGAUUAGAUACCCGGGUAGUCC
rnacentral:rRNA from 1 species